rnacentral:rRNA from 1 species
GACGAACGCUGGCGGCGUGCUUAACACAUGCAAGUCGAACGGAAAGGCCCUGCUUUUGUGGGGUGCUCGAGUGGCGAACGGGUGAGUAACACGUGAGUAACCUGCCCUUGACUUUGGGAUAACUUCAGGAAACUGGGGCUAAUACCGGAUAGGAGCUCCUGCUGCAUGGUGGGGGUUGGAAAGUUUCGGCGGUUGGGGAUGGACUCGCGGCUUAUCAGCUGGUUGGUGGGGUAGUGGCUUACCAAGGCUGUGACGGGUAGCCGGCCUGAGAGGGUGACCGGCCACAUUGGGACUGAGAUACGGCCCAGACUCCUACGGGAGGCAGCAGUGGGGAAUAUUGCACAAUGGGCGGAAGCCUGAUGCAGCAACGCCGCGUGCGGGAUGACGGCCUUCGGGUUGUAAACCGCUUUCGCCUGUGACGAAGCGUGAGUGACGGUAAUGGGUAAAGAAGCACCGGCUAACUACGUG